rnacentral:lncRNA from 1 species
CCCUAUUUCAACUCACCAACCUACUCCUGUUGUGUAGCAAGGAUGGCUCAUCUGAAGCUGGUGUGUGGAUGCCUGGGAGCUUGCUGCUCUUAUAGACAGACCAAGGCAGGAGAGGAAGGAAGCUGGGUAGAGAUUCAGUGACAAGGACACCUUGGUUUAAUCAUGUUCCCAUUUCUAUGGGCCUUCCCAGGACAUGACGGUGCCCAGGCAGGGCGACAGGUAUAUUUCAGGUGAAGCCCCUACAUUCCAUCCCUGACCAUCAUGGACCACCCUGCCAAGGCAGGAAGAUUGCAGGGAUGGUGCACAGAGCAGGGAAGAGACUUCAUUCUAGGUCCUGGCACAGAGCCCCUGGAAUUACCUGAGAGAGGAGUUGUCAUUCCUAAAGAGCCCUGAUGACCACAGGUGAGGGGGACAGCUGUGCCAGUGUUUGUUAAAGAGGUGAUUCAGGGUGGGAACCCCAAAUUUUAGACUUCCACAGGACCGGGCUGGCUCCAGAUGGUUGACUCAGAUAGUUGGAAGUUUCCUCCUGACCAUCAACCUUGAGAGUGGGACUUGAGACCAGAAACAACACUGCCUGAGAUCUGGGGAGUUUCUGGACUGCUUCAGACAAAGACCAGCCAGCCCUUUCCUCAUCAGUGGGCGGAGCAGCUAGGAAGACUCUCGGCAGAUCCUCAGCAGUUUCCUGCUUCCAUGAACCCCUGUUUGGCCUGGGAGGGAGAGUUCUUUGAUCCGACAGUCAGUGACCUCGGCUCAGGCCCAGCCUGAAGGAGUUCAGAGGCAGCAUCCUGGCUCAGCACUGGCAUGGGAGGUUUCAGCUGUGGAGCUUCAGCAGGGAGCCCAAACGACAGACUGGGACUAAGCUACAGCAUGCUGUGUGAUGACUGCCAGGGGACUAAGAAGAGCCUGGAUGAGCACUGUGGCAGCCCCAGGACCCUGAGCAGAGUUCACAGCAGCCCAGGAAAUCCAUCUCCCCUUGCUGCUGGAGGAUGCGAUGCUGGCCUUGCUGGCAUGGCCACCAUGGCUCACAGCAGCCCUCAGGGGGACUGGUAGACCAUUGAGUGUUCCUGGGAAGGUGGACACAGGAGGAUUUACCACCUCAGGCAACAUGAGGAAGAAUAGGAGCGACGGCGGGCUCGUGGAGACAGGAGUUGUUCUCUAGGAUGUCACUCACUCUAAGCACCCAGUGCACUUGGAGUGACUGAGCUCAGAGAGUGGAAGAUGAGCUGCAAGGUGAGAUCCUGCACAGAUUAAAACAGUCAGCUCCAGUACUGUCACUCAGAUCGAAGAGCUAACCACAGGCCAUGUGUACUGGAUGCUUGCUCUAAGUUAAUUGUCAUCAAGAUGAACCAAAGUCUUUGCUUCUCCCAGAGCCAGACAACGACAGAGGACUCUUCUAACUUAUGUCCUAUAAUCGACACUCCGCACUGGCAUUUGCCACCUUCCUGCCAUUGAGUUCUUCAUAAAAUAUGUAUCUGAUCAUGCUGUCCCCUCUUCUAGACAGCUCUGAGGAGACAUUCUAGGAGCUGGCCCCACCCAGCAGUACAGGAACCUCUUCUCACGAGGAGUUACUGGGAGUGUGCUUGAAGAAACUUGUUUGAGUGCAGGUUGGGGAGAAUCCUCUGUUCUACUCUGUUUCCCUGAAGAUUAUGUUUCCACCAUUGAUGCUGGGACCCUCUCCUGGCCUAUCGUGGGUUCCUUGUCCCCCAGCCUGUCCAUUCCCUUCCCUAGUUUCAAGCUUCAUAGCCACUCCUGAUUCGGCCUCCUGGUUGUAGUCUGCUGGUGCCAACCCCAGAGCAGCCUCUGACAUGCUCCAAAGAAUGGAAUUGCUUGAGUGUCACCAAGGCUGAAAAUCACUAUGGCAUUACUAAUUCUGGAAAGAUUUUCAGAAUCAAUUUAGACUAUUAUAUGAGUGUAAUAAAACGUAAAGCCAAUUAUAGUCUUGCAUAUUGCCAAACUUCCCAAAGAAGACUAAAUUGUGCAAUAGUCGAUAACAAAAAAGCUCAUUACAGAGAAUAGAAUAAUUGCAAUUUUAUAAAACUAAGUGACAGAGUUUGUGUAUUCAAGAGUGCUGA